UCCAGAAAUAUUAUCUUAAUAGAAAAAUUAUUAUAUGUCCCACGUAAUAUCAUACGCACAACGAUUCUUAUCUACUCGUGAAACAAUCAAAAAUCAUUUUUCAUCUUUUUCAAUCCUCAAUCCUCACUCCAAUCCUACGAAGAUAAUAAGAAGAGAAGAUUUCAUCCAUAUUCUUAAUACGCAAAAAAAAAAUAAGAAAAGGAGAAAGCAAUUGAAAUUUCUUUAUUUCAAUCAUUAAUAAUGUUUAUCACAAUUUUAUAAAUAAAUAAUUAUUUUCUUGGAUAAUUCGUGAGAUUAUUUGAAGAACCGUGGAUUUCGAUUCUAACAGGAGAAAUUUUACGAUUGCAUGUAUGACGAUUGGUGUUUCGUUCGCAAAGAACAAUGAGCGUUAAUUUUAUCGGCCCUCUGGACGGAUUGGUUGAACUAACUGACGGCUGAUUCAGCAGCUGUUACCUCAUCGGUAGCGCCCUCCAUCCUGACGCUUUUAGGGGGAGGCAUAUUGGAGGACGUUACUGCUCGAGAAGAGGAGCGAUUCUGCGAUCGUUUCCAAGGGAACGGAGGAUAUUAACGGUGUUAAAAGAAGACCGUUAUAAACUUGCUCUCGUCUCCCCCCUCAUUUUCAUUUUAAUUUCCUUUCGAGGAUGGAAUGACAAAAAUUCGUCGAGUUAAUCAAAUUGAAAAUGAAUCGGACUCCUUUCAGGACAGCUGCAUCUUUCGUUCGACAAUUUUUUGAAAAUAAUACAUACAUGGGUGCAAUAAAGGCAUAACUCUCGGACCCAUUCAUCUGAAAUCCUUUCGUUUCGAAGGAAUUCGAAACACGUCUUGAUACUCUAACCUCUUCUACCUAACCUCUACUACCACUUCUUUGCGUUAUAUCUAAAAACUUUUAGCCACGGUUUCGCCUUCGUUUUAUUACCUUUUUUAACCUUUUUCUUUCUCUCUCUUUCUUCAGGCUUCGUUUUCGUUCUCGAUUCUCUCCGCUACCAGUUUGCUUCGAUUCCGUGAUUCAGUUGGACGCCGUGUUGUGUCAACAUUUUUAUCCACGCUUAUCCCCGUAAAUAUUCGUAUUUUUACAAUGGAUAUCAAAGUGCGUGUUCAAAGUGUUGAGAUCGAGUUAUUAUAAAUAUAAAUUCGAGGGAAAUAAGUGAAAGAUUAUUUUCUAACAAUACAAACAUAAAUUUAAUUUAAAUAAAUAAUCUUUCGUUUCUCUUUGAUACGGAUAAAACGAUAUAUGCGUCAUACUUAAUAUUUUUCUUUCUUCUUUUAAACUACUUCUUUAUUCCUUUUACGAGUAAUAAAUAUUUUAAAAAUAUUUGAAGGCGCGGAGAAAAAUUUUGGAGUGGAAAUUGUUUAAAAAUUCUUUCACCGAGGAGACUUCGCCAUUUCGGGGUGGAAAUUAUCGAAUUUUCCAUCCCGUGUGCCUUUCACGCCUCUGGACCAACAUGGCUGCUCGCGUAUCCAUGGUUACACCCUCUGCUGUUCGAUAUAACCCUUGAUGAAACGCUCACAUUGGGAAUAGAAGGGGCGGUACGAAAAGAGGGUGAAACUACCGCGAAGGGUGUGCUCGAGAUGGAAGGUUACGCGGAAAGCCUUUCAUCUUUCACGUCGGCCAUUAAA
rnacentral:lncRNA from 1 species